rnacentral:rRNA from 1 species
GACGAACGCUGGCGGCGUGCCUAAUACAUGCAAGUAGAACGCUGAAGGAGGAGCUUGCUUCUCCGGAUGAGUUGCGAACGGGUGAGUAACGCGUAGGUAACCUGCCUGGUAGCGGGGGAUAACUAUUGGAAACGAUAGCUAAUACCGCAUAACAGUAGAUGUUGCAUGACAUUUGCUUAAAAGGUGCAAUUGCAUCACUACCAGAUGGACCUGCGUUGUAUUAGCUAGUUGGUGAGGUAACGGCUCACCAAGGCGACGAUACAUAGCCGACCUGAGAGGGUGAUCGGCCACACUGGGACUGAGACACGGCCCAGACUCCUACGGGAGGCAGCAGUAGGGAAUCUUCGGCAAUGUACGGAAGUCUGACCGAGCAACGCCGCGUGAGUGAAGAAGGUUGUCGGAUCGUAAAGCUCGGUUGUAAGAGAAGAACGAGUGUGAGAGUGGAAAGUUCACACUGUGACGGUAUCUUACCAGAAAGGGACGGCUAACUACGUG